rnacentral:rRNA from 1 species
AGAACGAACGCUGGCGGCAUGCCUAACACAUGCAAGUCGAACGAGACCUUCGGGUCUAGUGGCGCACGGGUGCGUAACGCGUGGGAAUCUGCCCUUGGGUUCGGAAUAACAGCGAGAAAUUGCUGCUAAUACCGGAUGAUGACGUAAGUCCAAAGAUUUAUCGCCCAGGGAUGAGCCCGCGUAGGAUUAGCUAGUUGGUGGGGUAAAGGCCUACCAAGGCGACGAUCCUUAGCUGGUCUGAGAGGAUGAUCAGCCACACUGGGACUGAGACACGGCCCAGACUCCUACGGGAGGCAGCAGUGGGGAAUAUUGGACAAUGGGCGAAAGCCUGAUCCAGCAAUGCCGCGUGAGUGAUGAAGGCCCUAGGUUGUAAAGCUCUUUACCCGGGAUGAUAAUGACAGGUACCGGGAGAAUAAGCUCCGGCUAACUCCGUGCCAGCAGCCGC